rnacentral:lncRNA from 1 species
UGGUGAACUUGGAUUGGUCAUGCAGAUAUAGUUGUUAGAGAAAUAAGAAGAUGAUGUAGAGUGAUUUAUGGGUAAGUAAUAUAGCGAAUAGAUUUGCACGGGAAGUCAAGUAUAUGCCGAGACUCGAGCAGGUUCAUUGUUAUUGUUGUUCUUGCGUGUCAAAGCUUUUGGCUAGAUCUGUAGGUAUACAUAUGAGUCGAUGCUUAAUUUUUGUCACGUUUCUUACUUACCACUAUUAUUUCUAGCAGACCUAACCUGAUAUAGUAGUUAAUUUUGGCACUAGACACAACAACUUUGACAUUGAUAAUUUCCUCAUAUUUUUAGUAGGACAAUAAACUUGUCUAGCAUUUCAUAGUUGCAGGCUCUGAAAACAAAUGUAUCUGCCCCCUAAAUGAUUAAACGUGUGGUUUCUGAAUUAUGCAUGCUGACAUGCAUUGGUAAUCAUUAUUCAACGGUAUUCCUUUUCACUGAAAUAAGAACCAUGUAAUGCUUAUGAUUUAAUCUGGUUAUCUAGACAACUAAAUGGGUUAAUGUUAUGCUUAGUAUCUUUUGGCAAAUGUAAUGCAGGGAAGUAAACCACUGUCUUUUGAUAGGGAUUUCUGGAGGUAACAUGCCUCUGAUUGUAUGCACUGAAUUUCAGAUGCUAUCUUGCAUACGACUGAGCAGUCUCGGAUAUACUUCAACCCAGACAUCAACGCAACAAAUAACUUGAUUAUAAGGUACAAUCAUGAUUACCAAUGCCUAGCUAUUUUUUGAUCUUGACUAACACAAAGGGUAUAAUGUGUAGUUUCAGGGAGCCGUGUAGUUUCAUGGAGCCCCGUCGCUUUCUCAUAGAAUUUGUUCAGAUAUAAAUUUGCCUAUUGCCAACAAUACAUGAUAUUAUAAUUAUAAUAUUGCAGGAACAAAUGUCAUGCGAAGCAAAUAAUUUCCUUAGAAAAAAGUAAGCUCCGUUUGCACUAUUAAUUAGCUUCCUGAGUUAUUUUGCUCGACAAGAGAAAUGGACUUGUUUUUUCUAUAGCGUAAUUGAAUAGUAAGAGUCUCUCCUACUUUCACCGCUAAGAAAACAAAUAUAAACCUACAUACGGACAUGCACCUCAAUCUCUUGUUUCGAAGUUAAACUGUUUGUAGAUACUUUUUGAUGUACCUUUCGAACCCAUGAACUUAAUGUUGUGCUUGUAGUGUUGGUUCUGGGUUUAGAAUCAAUAAAUAUGUGGAUUGAUGUCCCACCAACCAAAAACCAGAAUUUCUUCUUUGAUAUUCUGCUGGUUUAGAAAAUGUACAUUCUGGUUGGGGAUUUCCAUCGAGAGUGAAUGUAUAAUCCAGCCAACCAACCCAAGAUGUGUUUACCAACACCAUCACGAUGAUCUUUCUCAGCCUUCUCGGCCCAAUCAGUCUUCUAAUAUUCAUCUCAUGGUAGGCAUGCUCUGCAAAAAUGCAGCAACGGCAUUUUUUUGUCAUGUAUGUUAAACUUGUGCUAUGAACUGUUAGCAUAUUGGCCCUCCUUUGCUUCAACUUUACUUAGGAUAUUCACUCCAAGGAUAGGAAAAUCACAUACAAUUUUCCGCAUUUACCCCGCUGAAUUAAUUGCCUAACUGUUUAAUGAUUUUUUAGGAGGGCCAAGAAAAAGACGCAAAAGCAUAGCUUGCUCCUUGAUUCCAGUUUCUGCAGCCACCAUUGAUAAGCAUGGGACUGAGCAAAUGAGUAUCAAAAGGAAGU